rnacentral:lncRNA from 1 species
AAAUUAUCAUCAUCAUUUUAUUAUGGGAACAGGAAAAUUAAGACAAAAAAGAUUUAUCAUCCAGUGUUUUUGGUAAAUAAAAUUCAUCCAUUUUUAUCAAAUCAAUGCUACUGCUGAAGCUCUAUUACCACGUUUCAAAUGAUUCAGACUCCAUUAAAGUGAUUAAACUAUCAACCUCCAAAAACUGUAGAGAAGAAUAACUGAAAUUUCUACAAACAGCUAAGGUCAAAUAGGCUUAACAAAAACCUACAAAAUUCACAGCAUCCAAUCACACUCACUACAUAAACAGUAUAACAAGCUAAUUACAAGGAACCAAGAAAACAGUGCCUACCCAUUAACUAUGUUUUUUCUGGAAAGGGUUAAUCAUGCAUACCAUACGCUCAUACCAGUGUCUUGGAAGAAGAAAAUAGAAGCCGCAGCUUACGAAACUUACAAAAAGCAUCUAGCUUUAAAAAACAGUGUGCUUCCUUUUUUUAACCAAAAUUUACCUUCAUCAGAAUGAGAACAUUCUCCUUCCAGAGUCAGACUACAAAAUUCAGCUAUAUACUGGAUAACAAAAUUAAGUUGUUAGCCACAGGCUAUGUUCUUCAUGACUUUAUCAUCAAGCUUAAUUUCAUCAUUGAGGUAGUAUGUAAGGAGCAGUCUGAACCUGAUAGUGUCAUCAAAUUAAAGAAAAUUUUAGCAAUGGUGAAUUAUAUCAUAACUCAAGAUUUACGGGAAAGCUUUAAUCAAUCAUUUAGCAAUUGUGAUAGUGCCAUUAUAUCAUAAUCUCAAGCAAUCUUACUGGAAAGCUCGCCUCAAAUGAAAUAACUAUGUGAACCCGACCCGAUAUUUGCAUAAACUUGUAGUUAGAUAAUGUAAUAAGCAUGCAUCAGUCAGAAAUUCAAU